AGAACGAACCGGGCCCCUCUGACGGCAGUUGCAGCCGUGAUGUCGGAUCGCACCG
rfam:Rhodobacter sp. SW2 ctg00055, whole genome shotgun sequence.